CUCCUUUCCUAGUGUCCCCAUCUUUGCUGCCUUCUGUGAGUUUGAUCAUGUGGACUCCAUGGAGGUUGGCCACUGCUGGGCAAUGCAGCCAAACAAAGUGAGCAAAAGUAGGCUGGAGGGCUCCGUGGGUGACUGGGGCUAGGCUGCCUCUGGUGCCCCAAGAACCCUGAAGCCACCUUGCAGCUCUUCUGAAAUGGGUUGGGGGAUCCAGCUAUCUGUAAUUGUGAAGUGAAGAGGAUGUGACUGCCAGGUAAUGCUAACCCCGAAUCCUUGGUGCCUGUGUUAUGCACCAUAUGCUGAAUUUCGGUUCCAGCUGUGUGCUAGAGAUGGAGUUUCGCCAUGUUGUCCAGGCUGGUCUGGGACUCCUGGGCUCAAGCAGUCCUCCCACCUAAGCCUCCCAAAGUGUUGGAAUUACAGGCGUGAGCCACCGCGCCCAGCCUGCUGAGACUUUUGAAUGUGUUCUGUUUCCACUACACAAUUGAGAACACUGAAGUACCAGUGACUUCCAGGGUGGGGAAGAAAUCCAGAGGCUGCUCCUGAAAGGGGUCACCCUUGAGUGUGAGUCUGUUCCAAGUAAAUCAAGUGAGCUGGAAGAUCGGUGAGCUUGGAUUUAUUUUGUAUCUUUUUUUUUUUCUUUUUAAAGGGGAGCUGUAGAAUUAAGGGUUGAGGUUUUUCUUAUUCUCUUUAGAGGUUUUUUGGCUACCUAAUACAUCAGCUGAACUAAUCUGCAGAAAAUAAAUUUAUCUUUAAAGUAGAGCUAUUUAGAUGCCUGAGUAACAAACUCUAUCUCAAUAGAAGCUAUUGGCAAAAUGAAGCUCACCUCUUAGGCUGACAGCACUGUGGAAAUGAUGCUCAAAGUUUCAGGGGUGAAACCAGAUUGGCUUCUGGCCAAGGGUACCUUACUAAUGGGCGUAUUUGCAUUUGGGGAGGAAAAGACCUGUGACAACACAGCCACGUGGUUGUUCCUCAUAACCCACAGUUGGGUUUCAUCUGGACUCCCUCCCCACCCCUAACGUCUGCCGAUGUAUCUGUGUCUAAAGCCAUAGUUUACUCUUUUUUAUCCUCAUCCUUCAACCAGCCCUACAUCUUACGUGCCUGCUGUCCAGACUUCUCUUAAAUCUAUCUGUUCCUUUCCACCCCAACUAUCAACUCAACUGAAUAGCCACUAAAUGAGGCACUGUGCUAAGCUCUGAAUUGCAAAGAUCAUUAGGGCAUUUGGUCUUAUUACUUCAGUCCUGGGUUAUGCACCUGUGCUAGGAGGUGCAGCUGAUUUUCCUGAUUAUGCUUCCAGACGUGCCACUCCUUCUCAUACACACAACUCUUGCUCAGACACUGUCCUGUACUUCCUGUAAGGUACAGUCAAAACCUGCGUUUUUCAGAGGCCUCUGCAGCCUGCACCCAUUGUGAUUGUGCAGUCUUAGCUCCUUUUGGCCUUGUGGAAGGAGAGUGGAUUCUAGAAAGAUCCCUGCCCAGCCACUUCCUGCCCACUGUGACCUUGAGCAAAAUCUCUGGCUCCAAGUGUUGCAUGGGUGGUGGUGAAGGGGUAGCAAGGAAACUUGAGUGGGUUUGUCAGAACUAGGAGCAGUAAGAAAACUUGAAAGAGCCUCCUGUCUUAAGAAGGCACUUGACUGCCUCUGAUCAAUUCAGGGAGGCUUCAACAGCUCUUAAGAGGAUUAGGCCAAAGGACUUCAGUGAAACUUUUGUGCUUUUGUUCCCUAGAGUGGAAACCCUUGACACGUGUUACACACAAACAACACUUGGGGUGGAACAAGAGGUUUACAAUGA
ensembl:lncRNA LINC00222 long intergenic non-protein coding RNA 222